AUGGCACAAAGACAGGAGAGUUGGAGUCAGCAGCAGAGGAUGCAUGAGUCGAUCCCUCUGGGACGGAUGGAGAGUGUUAUCAGCCAGACAAGUGGCGAGGAGAGCGGUGAGCGCCGAAAAGCGCGCGCGAUCUUCAACAAUUUGGAUCGCGAUGGGGAUGGAUACCUGGGUAUUGAUGAGCUGAAGCAGCUGAUUAGGAGCCACCAGUGCAGGGAGAUGCCUCGUGGUGUGGCUCGGAGAGUGCUGGAACUCGGAGAUACGAAUGGGGAUGGAAGAUUGGAUUUUGAGGAGUUCUACCAGCUCUCCCGGACACACAAGUGGAUGCUGAAACCCCUAGUGGUGCGCUAUUGUCAGAUGGUUGUGCCAUCGCCACACAGAACACCCGAAGACGCAAUAGAUGGGCAGUAUGAGCGUAGCAUGACCUUCUGCCCGCCCCCUCUCACCAUGGUUAUUUUCUCCAUUGUCGAGAUCAUCAUGUUCCUCAUCGACGUCAUCCACCUGAGGGAUUACACAAAUGAUGUGAAUCAAAUAGGACAGAGCACAAAAGGACCUGCUGCCACUCUUUUCAUCUACAACCCCACCCGACGCUUCGAGGCAUGGCGAUUUGCCACCUACAUGUUUGUCCACAUUGGCAUAAUGCACCUCAUGAUGAAUUUGCUCGUGCAAAUCUUCCUGGGCAUCGCCCUGGAGCUCGUGCACUGCUGGUGGCGCAUCGCCCUUGUCUACUUGGCGGGUGUCGUAGCGGGCUCAAUGUCCGUCUCCCUUGCGACACCCACUGUGUACUUGGCGGGCGCCUCGGGGGGUGUUUAUGCCCUCAUUACGGCCCACAUUGCCACAAUAAUCAUGAAUUGGAAUGAGAUGGAGUACGCCAUCAUUCAGCUCCUUGUUUUCCUCAUCUACAUCAUCACGGACAUCGGAGCGGCGCUCUAUCGGCAAUUUAGCGACGUACACGAUCGUGUGUCGUACACAUCGCACAUUGGGGGUGCUGUUGCGGGGCUCCUUGUUGGCAUUGGCGUGCUACGCAAUCUCAAGGUGCGCCCGUGGGAGAAGAAACUCUGGUGGGCUGCCGUUGUGACCUACAUCCUCCUCAUGGGAUCCGGCAUUUGUGUCCAUAUCUUCGUUCCGGAUCAUUUUAUGCAACAAAAUGCCUUCAUGUGAAGAUCCCGCCGCACCCCCGAAACUCUCUACUUCUGUGAGAAUGCAUUUAAACGCACCCCAUUCCGCCAUGAAAUGUCGCGCGCAAAAAACAACAAAUAAGCAAUUUUGACGAAAAUAUUCUUCGAGUUUUUUUUCUAUACAUAAAAAAAAGUUUCUAUUUUUAUAUCCCGUGAAUUUUUUAAAAAAAAAAGCAUUUAAAUGCAUUUUGUGAGACAAUUUUUUUGGAUGCAGACUUUAUGCCAAUCAACGUAUUAUUGUAGAACUUUGCUGUUCCUUUGCGAAGAAGUUGCAUAAACAAUCCGGCUUUUUUGGCAAAAAUUUGUGAGAGAAAAAAAUGUAUUAUUGGCAAAAGACAUUGUUGAAUUUUUUUUUUGAAAAUUACAUAAAAUUUUUUAUUCUCUGCCGAGUAAUGCUUUAAAAAUACAAUGUCACUGGUUUUGUACAAUUUAUCUCUAUAUAUUUCAUCUUUUUUUAAAUAAAAUAUAUAUCAAUAAAUCCACCAAAUAAUAAAAAAAAAUGUACAAACGUCCUCAAUAAAAAAAAAUCUUCUCUAAUAAACUUUUCACUUCCUUGGGAAAGAAAAUAACAUAUAAAAGAAAAAAAUAACUUAAUAAAAGAAAAUCUGCUCAGAGCAUUUUGAAAUUCCUGUUUGUGUCAUGAUUUAAGAAAUUGUACAAAUCAAAUGAGAUUGUACCGUAAAAUAUAUAUACGAUUUUUAAAUGUUAUUUUAUACAAUUAUUAAAUAAAAAUUCUCUCUAAGUAAUUUAAA